GGAUGCUGAGUGCUGCUGGAAUUUUAGUGUUCAGCUCGCUUUAAAUUUAUGGGCAGGCUCCUACCUUUUCGGACUGACUCAACGUAAUAAGAAAUUUCGUUGAGGACGCCUCAGAGCGGCCGAAUUGUAGGGAAGUGCCGCCACUAGUUGACCCUUGUAUCUUAGACCUCAAAUCAGGUGGGACUACCCGCUGAACUUAA
rnacentral:misc_RNA from 1 species